rnacentral:rRNA from 1 species
AACGCGAAGAACCUUACCUGGGCUCGAACGGCUUCUCAACGGCGUUAGAAAUAGCGCUACCCCGCAAGGGGGUGGAGUCGAGGUGCUGCAUGGCUGUCGUCAGCUCGUGUCGUGAGAUGUUGGGUUAAGUCCCGCAACGAGCGCAACCCUUGUCCUGUGUUGCCAUCAUUCAGUUGGGAACUCGCAGGAGACCGCCAGCGAUAAGCUGGAGGAAGGUGGGGAUGACGUCAAGUCCUCAUGGCCUUUAUGUCCAGGGCUACACACGUGCUACAAUGGCCGGUACAAAGCGCCGCAAACCCGCGAGGGGGAGCCAAUCGCAAAAAACCGGUCUCAGUUCGGAUUGCAGGCUGCAACCCGCCUGCAUGAAGCUGGAAUCGCUAGUAAUGGCAGAUCAGCACGCUGCCGUGAAUACGUUCCCGGGCCUUGUACACACCGUAGAGAC